ACAAGACUGAGAAUAGCUCUGC
rnacentral:siRNA from 1 species